rnacentral:rRNA from 1 species
UUGACGGUACCCUACUAGAAAGGAGCCGCUAACUUCGUGCCAGAAGCGUCGGUAAUACGGGGGCUCCAAGCGUUAUCCGGUGUUAUUGGGCGUAAAGAGUCGUGUAGGUGGUUAGAUAAGUUAUCCUUCAAAUAUCUUUGCUUAACAAAGGGGAGGGGGAUAAUACUGUCUGACUAGAAUUUUCUCAAGGGAGAUCGGAACUGAGGGAGGAGUAGUGAAAUGCGUUGAUACCCUCGGGAAACACCAGUGGCGUAGGCGGAUCUCUGGGAGAAGAUUGACACUGAGACACGAAAGCUAGGGGAGCGAAGCAGAUUAGAGACCUGCGUAGUCCUAGCCGUAAACGCAUGCUUGCUAGCUGCAUGAAUCUGCCUUCGGGUGGUAUCGUGUGGCGAAGGUAACCCGGUAAGCAAGCCGCCUGGAAAGUACGGCCGCAAGGCUGAAAUUCAAAGGAAUUGGCGGGGAGGCACACAACCAGUGGAACAUGUGGUUUAAUUCGAAACAAACCGAAGAACCUCACCAGGGUUUGACAUGUAGCUGCAAAUCUUAGGAAACUAAGACUCUUUCGAAGGUGCUACACAGGUGCUGCAUGGCUGUCGUCAGCUCGUUCCGUGAGGAGUGCCCUUAAGUGGGACAACGAGCGCAACCCCUAUUACAUGUUAGAAAUGUCAUGUAAGACUGCCUUGCCAUUUGGCGGGGAGGAAGGAGGGGCAGACGUCAAGUCCGCAUGGUCCUUAUACCCUGGGCUACACACAUGUUACAAUGAGUACGGCAAUGAGUUUGUCGCUAGCACGUAAGUGUAAGCUAAUCUCUUAAAUGUACUCUCAGUGGGGAUUGAGGUCUGCAACUCGACCUCAUGUACACGGAAUUGGUACUCCUCGCGGGUCAGCUAUACCGCGGUGAAUACGUUCUGCACUCUUGCACACACCGCCCGUCAAACCAGCAAAGU